AUGAUGUCCACAUUCUUUAGUAUUACACCAUAAUUUUACAAAGCUCUGCCCUGUUUUAAGUGUUUUAACCCCUGCUCACUGAUUUGAUACCCUGUCUGAUCGAUCUUGAACCCAACAACGGAUGCCAAGGCGCUGCCUGAUAAAGGCUAUGCUUUGUAAACUACGUUGGGGUUCUGAUCUCGUGAUGUAUUGAUAAAGUUGAAAUUGGGUUAUCACACUAACACGAGUGCAUUGUAUAUUUUAUUAAAUAGCUCAGGAGUUGUACCCAAGAUUAUACCAGGAGGCUUUUAUUUGAACCCUAAAGUUACAAAGUAACUUACUGUGAAAGUAAUAGAAGCCUGCUAUGGAGCACUGAAGGCUUAAAUAAAGUGGCUAUAAAUACCUGAAUAAAAGGAGAAAUUUAUGUUUUAUUUAUUUGGGUUUAUCCCUAUAAAAACAUUUGAAUUGAAUAUGAGUUUUAGCCCAUUUAUUUAAUAUUAAAAGUUGGUGUU
rnacentral:lncRNA from 1 species